CUACGGGGGGCAGCAGUGAGGAAUAUUGCACAAUGGGGGGAACCCUGAUGCAGCAACGCCGCGUGGAGGAUGACGCAUUUCGGUGUGUGAACUCCUUUUAUAUGUCAAGAAAAUGACGGUAGCAUAUGAAUAAGCACCGGCUAACUCCGUGCCAGGCAGCCGCGGUAAUACGGAGGGUGCAAGCGUUACUCGGAAUCACUGGGCGUAAAGGACGCGUAGGCGGGUUGGAAAGUCAGGUGUGAAAUCCUACAGCUUAACUGUAGAACUGCACUUGAAACUUCUAAUCUAGAGUAUGGGAGGGGGAGAUGGAAUUAGUGGUGUAGGGGUAAAAUCCGUAGAUAUCACUAGGAAUACCUAAAGCGAAGGCGAUCUCCUGGAACAUUACUGACGCUAAGGCGUGAAAGCGUGGGGAGCAAACAGGAUUAGAUACCCCGGUAGUC
rnacentral:rRNA from 1 species